rnacentral:rRNA from 1 species
AACGAACGCUGGCGGCAGGCUUAACACAUGCAAGUCGAACGGGCGUAGCAAUACGUCAGUGGCGGACGGGUGAGUAACACGUGGGAAUAUGCCUUUCGGUUCGGAACAACUCGGGGAAACCCGUGCUAAUUCCGGAUACGCCCUUACGGGAAAGAUUUAUCGCCGAAAGAUUAGCCCGCGUUGGAUUAGCUAGUUGGUGAGGUAAAGGCUCACCAAGGCGACGAUCCAUAGCUGGUUUGAGAGAACGACCAGCCACACUGGGACUGAGACACGGCCCAGACUCCUACGGGAGGCAGCAGUGGGGAAUCUUGGACAAUGGAGGAAACUCUGAUCCAGCCAUGCCGCGUGAGUGAUGAAGGCCUU